rnacentral:rRNA from 1 species
UACGGAGGUGGCAAGCGUUGUUCGGAAUUACUGGGCGUAAAGGGCGCGUAGGCGGCAAGGCAAGUCAGGUGUGAAAGCCCCGAGCUUAACUCGGGAAUUGCAUCUGAAACUGCUGUGCUUGAGUUCUGGAGGGGGUAGUGGAAUUCCCAGUGUAGCGGUGAAAUGCGUAGAUAUUGGGAGGAACACCUGCGGCGAAGGCGGCUACCUGGACAGAAACUGACGCUGAGGCGGCGAAAGCUAGGGGAGCGAACG